CCCGGCGGCGCGGUGCGCUGCCGUACGGGUCCGGGCGGGUACAGCGGCCGGGGGAGCAGGAAGAGCGGCCCGGUGUGCCCCAACCCGCUCGGCCCGUCCUCCGCCUCGGCCCCGCCAUGAGCGAGAAGGGCGAGCUGGACCUCACCGGGGCCAAACAGAACACGGGCAUGUGGCUGGUGAAGGUCCCCAAAUACUUGUCACAACAGUGGAGUAAAGCUUCAGGAAGAGGUGAAGUGGGAAAACUACGGAUUGCCAAAAAUCAAGGAAGAACAGAAGUGUCAUUUACUUUGAAUGAAGAGCUUGCAAGCAUCAAUGAUAUUGGAGGAAAACCUGCUUCAGUCAGUGCACCAAGGGAACAUCCAUUUCUUUUGCAAAGUGUGGGAGGACAGACCUUAACAGUGUUCACAGAAAGUUCAGUAGAAAGCCAACCAGAAGAAAAAUCUGAAAGCAGCAGUGCUGUACCUGAUGCAUACAGCAGGACGACACUGAAAGGAAAGGUGUUCUUGUCUGUACAAGGGGGGUGUCGUCCGUGGAGCGUAUGCGCAUACAUAUUCCUCAUUUAUCGGACACGUGUGCAGUGCUUGGAGCAGGAAAGGGAAAGCUCGCCACGCAUCUAUCUCUGUGUGUGUUUCCUUGGGGAGCGGAGGGAGCCGCAGCAUGCAUUCCCCAGCACCGGCGGGAGCGAACGCUUACCUUGGGCUGGACCCAGAGAGGAGGUCCCAUCUUUUUCAAGAUGUGUUUUUCAUUUUACAGAUAAACUUUCCUUGGAAGGAAUAGUGGUGCAACGAGCUGAAUGCAGACCUGCAGCUAGUGAAAAUUAUAUGAAACUGAAAAGAUUACAGAUAGAAGAAUCUUCUAAACCUGUAAGGCUAUCACAGCAGCUGGACAAAGCCGUAACCACGAACUAUAAACCGGUGGCUAAUCAUCAAUAUAAUAUUGAAUACGAGAAGAAGAAGAAAGAAGAUGGAAAACGGGCUCGAGCUGAUAAACAACAAGUGUUGGACAUGCUUUUUUCAGCCUUUGAGAAACAUCAGUAUUACAACAUUAAAGACCUGGUGGACAUAACCAAACAGCCGGUGGUACGUACUAGUAGUCUUGUAAUAUAACCAUUUUCAGUAGUUACUAUUGUGUAUAUUUUUCUUAUCCAGAAAAUAGUUCAAUGUAUACUAUAUGCCUUUGAAACAGCUCUCUAAAUACGUUUUACAACAAACAGAAAUCAUCAAGUUUUAAGUUCGCCAUUGUAGAACUGUGUAGGAUACCAAGCAUUGCAGUGAGCAUGCUUUUUCUUGACAGAGGUGGUUUAAGUAACCUAAAUGGUCUCUUUCUUAUUUAGGUUUGCUUUAAUACUAGAAACCAAAUUCUGUAAUGCUCUGCUGUCUCCCAUGCUACUCCUGUCCUCACUGAAGUAACAGCCUAGUUCUGUUGCUGUCGGCAGCAGAGAGCUUUUGUGAGUGAUCAGUCCUUCCUCCAGUUUCUGAACUUUACCUUGGCAUAGCAACAGGGGUUACUCUUUUUCUGUGGGUCUAGAAAAUUGUGUUUCAUGGAAUUAGUAUUAAAUGCACGCAUUACCCACUUUAGGAGCUCGGGCAUCGUGUCAACACCCCCAAAAUCACUUGAUUUCCUUUACAAAUAGAAUAAUUUUUAGACUAAGAGUUUAGGGGUUUGAUAUUUAGGAUUUAUUUUGAUUUUUUUUUAAACACUGUUACGAUACACAAGCAAGAAAAGCAUGAAGACGUGUGCUUAUGUGAUGAUUUUGUUAUCCUGCAGUGUCUGCCAGACCCUUUCUUUAUGAACCCUAACUUUCCAGUUCUUUCCCUUCUUCCCGUGUUCAAGCUUUCCCUGAGCAGACCAGGCCAGAGCAGGGGGACGUGAAGUAUCUCUGGUGCUUUUGAUGUUUUUCACUGCUGACUUCAAUAUCUAUCCUCAACCCAGCUGCAGUUUUCAGAAUACUUAAAGGGACUUAAUUAUGUUUGAGUCUAAAUGGAGCAACAAUUUCAAAAGUUGUUAGAGCUAAGGCAGAAGAAGGAACAGUGACAGCUGAACUAUGGAAAAAAUUAUUCCUCUGUAAGAGGGGAAAAAAUGAAGAUGCUUACUAGUUUUGCUCACUUCACAUUUAGAAUUAAGUGGAUCUGUAUCAGAGGAUUUGUAUAAGGUGCACAAUCUGUUUGGUUAAGUAGCUGCACAAAGACGUUACCCAGUUCAAAUGCACGUAGGUUCACGGUGUUCUAGUACCUUGGAAGAAACUAGUUGGAUAAUGUAUUUGUGUCCUCUGUUCCAUUCAUCUAAUGAGUCAACUCCUUAUCUGUGUGGCAGAGAAAGUGUCUAGAUCAUGGGAGCUGAGGAGGAGGAAGGAAUAGGAAGAAGAUAUGGAGGGAGUGGCAAGCAAAUUUUAAGUUGUUUUAUUUUUUUUGUAAGACAUAGGUGUGACAGUCACUAUCUCAACCACUUUGAAAUAAGUAGGUGCAGAUUUAUCCUUUCUAGCAUGACUUCAGCUAGAAAUAGUCACCCACAACUCCCACUUAGGCCAUGGGAGAGCAAAAGUUUUCUUCCUCCUGUGAUGUGAUUUAACUCUUGAAUGUACCUGUCUCUCUGCAUCAGCUCAAAGGAGCCUGGAAAAGCUGUGCUUCUGACAUAAGUUUCUUCAUUAAGCACCAAAAGUUGGGCAAGAUUAAUCCAAUUUUUGUCUUAGUCGCUGCCCUAAGGAUUAGAUGUAUAGGCUAGUUAUUAGAUUAGAUGUAUAGAGCAAAACACCUCACAUGAAUACAUUUUUUACAUUUGUGAUGAAUUUCUAUGCCUGUCUAUAUACCUCUGCUGUCACCGUAUGCUCCUCAAUGUAUUCUGCCUGUAGCAUAGCAGAUCUGUGCUGUGUACUUUCACCUCAUCAAAUCUAGCCUUUUUUUUUUCAACUGUUGUAGUAAAAUAGAUACGUUAAAGGGAAAUUGUAGACUAAUUUGACCUAACAUCACAUGUUAUUUGAGCUAUAUCUUUGCAUCUGUUUAUUUGAGUCUCUCUACUGAUGGCUAAAAGUCCCAUAGGGCUCCUGAGAUUCAUCAAACCAUUAAACCCUCUUCCCCUGAAUGGGCUCUGCAGUCUCAGUUUCGAGCUGUGUGGGACAGUUAGGGUUUUCGUGUUCAUUCCCAGCCGGGGUUUCGCCGUAGGUGUUGGUGCCCAUCCAGCUUCCUCAGACCUGGAUAUCCUGAGAAAAUAAAUGACCGAAAUCCUCUUCCUGGUGCCUUUCUUCAUUCACUGGCUAGCCAGUAUGGCAAUAAAUCCAAAACUAUCUUUCAGUACAUCAUCUACCCGUCAUCUAAAGCUAUCCUAAUUUCCCAUCUGGGUUCCCAUUAAAAACUUCUGUAGGGAGUUGCUAACGGCAUCCAUUUCCAUUUAAAAAUACUUUCCCUUGGUUCCUGCUGCUCAGGCAGUGUUCGCUCCGUGUGUGAGCAUCCCUGGUGCUGCAGACUUCAACCUCUGGUGUGCAACUUUUGGGUUUUUUCUGCAAAUCAAGUAUCUGUUCCUAAUGCCCACUGUGACUUUAUUGUUCACAGAGCAGCUAUACCUGACAAAAAAAAUCUAAAAUGCCAACAGGUGAAUAGGCAUGCUUUCCCCAUGCUGUACAGAGGUUGGCUGCUAAUUAAUCUCUGCUGAGUGUUCACUGCUUUCUUUUCUGUCAUAGUGUCUAAGAUUGUCUGGGUAUGUAAUUUCCCUUCUGAGUUUCUAAAUGUUGAGGUUAUUUUCAGACGCGAGGAAAAAAAAGCUGCUGCGGCUGCUCUCUCCUCAGCUCCCAUUAAAAUGAAGUUCUAGGUGCUUACAUCAUGGGCUAAUAAUAUUUAAAACACAUUUGUCUAAGGGAAUCAACGUCUUCAUUAGUGAAGUAACAAAUAAAUAAGGGUAUUUUUCUUAUGUAAUGGUAAAUUUAAAGUAAACUCUUGCUACAGAAUAUGUUGCAUGUUACAGGGGAAGUUGCUGCCAUCUUUAUUUUGCAAUCAUGAAAUCACAAAGCAAGUCUACUUUGAAUGCAAACUACUGUUAUAUUAGGGAAAUCUGGUUUUAUUUGUUUUUCUUUUUAAUGAAAAAUAACAAUUUGCAGUAGUAGGCAAACCUGUUGCCACCUACUCAGAUGUAAGUAUCGAGCGCUCCCUGAAAAUAUUGCAGUAAUUCUAGAUUUGGACUUAAUGGCUGAGAACAUAAUACGCUUUUUAUGUGAGCGAUCAAAUAUUUAUGAAGAAUGGAACCAGUAUGGAACCAGUGGUCUAAUAUGAACUGUAUUUUUUCAAAAUGGGGUAGACUGCUUGCAGGUUUUUCUUUUGUUUCAGCUUAAGUAUCCUAAGUGGGGGCUUUUUUCUUCCCUCAAAGUUUCAGAAGGAUUUUCAGAGCUUGGAACUUAACUCCUGUCUCAGAAACUUUUAUCCCAUAAUUCUAUAAUAACAUUUCACUUUUUAUGGAAAAAAUCACGAGGGAAGGUGUAACAGAGCAGAGGAUGCCUUAAAUGUACAAACAGAUUACCUACAGAUUAGCUUCUGUGUUAGACUUACGUGUAUAUAAACAUAUUGAAUCCCUUUCUGAGAAGAAAUUGUGGGAUCCCCAUUAGUGCUCACCAGGCCCUGAAAUUCAGUAUUUGGCAUCACUGGAGGAGGUGGGAGGUUUCUUCUGAUGAUAUAGUAUCAGACCGAGUAGUACGCUUCAAGAUGUAUAGGCCAACUCGGCACAGCGCAGACGCGGGUAGAGCGUCCUGGUUUCUGGAAGGAGAAGUGAUCCUGCAGGAAAAAUCAUAACGUCCCCUGAACGCAUCUCAUCAAGCCACUUGAACUCAAAUACAGUACAGUGCAGCCGGCUUAUCCCUGAUUUGUGAUGGUCUAAAAGCUCCAACAGUUCGGCAUUGUAUGUGCACGCAGAGUGAUUUUUUGGGGUUAACGCUGUCAGCUGCCCUCCCCAAAAUCACUGCUGCUUGUUUCUCCCCGGCAACAGAGGUGGCAAAUAGGAAUAUGUUGCAAAUCCUCAGCUGCUGCAGUUCGCCAUCCCAGCUUGAAGUGCCCUUACUUGUGGCACAGACGUUACCUCGCUAUUCAGUUUGGGUUGGUUUUAUUUCAUUUUGUUAUGCUGUUGAAUCAAAACUGUUGGAACUUUUGCCCAGAGAUAAGCAGAGCUGCCUGGGGAAUUGGGUCUGAAAACGAGUUGAAAUUAAAAUUAACCUUCGUUUACCUGGGUGGGUGGUUUGGAGGCAUGAGCAAGUAGCAAGGGGCGAGAACUGCCUCGUGCAAAAUGUCAACCCAAAGAGCCGCAGAGCCCGCAGCCGCGGGGGUUUUGUUCUGCCUGAGCCCUGUGCCUUCCUUGCGCCUGGUGACCUGGCUUCCCCGACGCAGACUACGUCUCUGAGCCUGGGAACCGCACAUAGAUGUACUUCGGGGGACUCGGUGCGAUUAUUUUCUUUUUUUUUCCAAUUCUUAUUAAUCUGGCCGUGUGGUCUAGAGCAGAAUUUGACCUUGAAUCUGAGUGUUCUUUCCACCCACUCUGCCAUCUUUUGAAGUGCCUGUCAGGGACAUUACUGAAAGCUACCUUGCGUGCGUGCACAAGGAUUGCAAACAAGGCAGUGGAUAUGCAGAUAUACUUGAAAGAAAUUCUAAGAGAAAUAGGCAUCUACAACGUGAAGGGGACCCACAAAAACACAUGGGAG